CCUACGAGGGGCAGCAGUGAGGAAUAUUGGUCAAUGGGCGCGAGCCUGAACCAGCCAAGUAGCGUGAAGGAUGACUGCCCUACGGGUUGUAAACUUCUUUUGCCGGGGAGCAACGGGCGCCACGUGUGGCGCCACUGAGAGUACCCGGAGAAAAAGCAUCGGCUAACUCCGUGCCAGCAGCCGCGGUAAUACGGAGGAUGCGAGCUUUAGCCGGAUUUAUUGGGUUUAAAGGGGGCGUAGGCGGAGCGUUAAGUCAGUGGUCAAAUUGAGGGGCUCAACCCCUUCCCGCCAUUGAAACUGGCGCUCUUGAGUGGAAGAGAAGUAUGCGGAAUGCGUGGUGUAGCGGUGAAAUGCAUAGAUAUCACGCAGAACCCCGAUUGCGAAGGCAGCAUGCCGGCUUCCUACUGACGCUGAAGCACGAAAGCGUGGGGAUCGAACAGGAUUAGAUACCCCUGUAGUC
rnacentral:rRNA from 1 species